UACAGAGGGGGCAAGCGUUAUUCGGAAUUAUUGGGCGUAAAGGGCGCGUAGGCGGCUUGGCAAGUGGAUGGUGAAAUCCCUCGGCUUAACCGAGGAACGGCCGUCCAAACUGCUUCGCUUGAGACCGGGAGAGGUGAGUGGAAUUCCCAGUGUAGCGGUGAAAUGCGUAGAUAUUGGGAGGAACACCAGUGGCGAAGGCGGCUCACUGGACCGGUACUGACGCUGAGGCGCGAAAGCUAGGGGAGCAAACGGG
rnacentral:rRNA from 1 species